rnacentral:rRNA from 1 species
UACGUAGGGCGCAAGCGUUGUCCGGAAUUAUUGGGCGUAAAGAGCUCGUAGGCGGUUCGUUAUGUCGGAUGUGAAAGCCCUUGGCUUAACCGAGGAAGUGCAUCCGAAACUGGCGAGCUAGAGUACGAAAGAGGAUCGCGGAAUUCCCGGUGUAGAGGUGAAAUUCGUAGAUAUCGGGAGGAACACCGGUGGCGAAGGCGGCGAUCUGGGUCGAUACUGACGCUGAGGUGCGAAAGCGUGGGGAGCAAACAGG